rnacentral:rRNA from 1 species
UGGGGAAUUUUGGACAAUGGGCGAAGGCUGAUCCAGCAAUGCCGCGUGUGUGAAGAAGGCCUUCGGGUUGUAAAGCACUUUUGUCCGGAAAGAAAUCCUUGGCUCUAAUACAGUCGGGGGAUGACGGUACCGGAAGAAUAAGCACCGGCUAACUACGUGCCAGCAGCCGCGGUAAUACGUAGGGUGCAAGCGUUAAUCGGAAUUACUGGGCGUAAAGCGUGCGCAGGCGGUUUGCUAAGACCGAUGUGAAAUCCCCGGGCUCAACCUGGGAACUGCAUUGGUGACUGGCAGGCUAGAGUAUGGCAGAGGGGGGUAGAAUUCCACGUGUGAGCAGUGAAAUGCGUAGAGAUGUGGAGGAAUACCGAUGGCGAAGGCAGCCCCC